rnacentral:other from 1 species
CCGAUCCUGAUGUGUGCGUGUAACCCAAGUGUUUUGGAACCUAACACCAGACACGAGGGAGCCUCAUAUUGCGCCGGCGAACGCUAGGCCGUAACCAGCGGAAAGCGCUUCCCGGCGCUGCGGGCACCCACCUGCGAGAGCGCAGGUUCAAAACCGCGGUUCACGGCACGUCGGGACAACC